UGGCUGUAUUCCUGACUUGGUACAGGACAUUUUUUUUUAAAGAAAACCAGAUGUUCCGCAGGGUGCAGCUUUAUACGACCGCAGAGGUUGAACCCUGAAAGGUUGGGGCAAGUAUGGACACAACAUUCAAGCUGGAUUCAGCUCUAAAUUUGGAUUGUGAUUAAAUGAUUGACACAUCAUAGGUUUCUGACACAGAAUAUAUGUGGUCUAAUGAACUUAAAGAAUGAAUGUGGUUUAAUGAACUUAUUUGUUUUUUGUUUUGGGGCAAUUCACUGUGCUGUUGAAUAUUAAUCCUCUCAACCAAAAAAUUGUUUAAAGAAAUUUCUUAUGAAAUUCUGAUAUAAAAAAAAUAUUUGACUCCAACCCCAAUUUUUUUUCACCUCCCCCUUUCCCUUAUUCCAAAAAUUAUCUCAAUUCAAAUUUCUAAUGGAAUUUGCAACAAUAACUACUCAUUUACUAACUGAGUUUAGAGGUAAUAGGCAUUAUACAUUGUAUACACAUUUCAUUAAAUUUAGCUGAGACAAACUUAAGUUAAGAGAACAGAAACGAAAAAAUUCUGCAGUGUUUCCACUUGUACAGGGGCAUAACCCUAGAAUUGUAAUCAAAGUGCUUAUAAUCACUGAAUGGUUUAGGUGUAAUACCACCAAAUCAUGGUUCGUCACAUCAGGUUGUAUACGAAAGUAGGUCGAAAAAAAAAUUCCCUUGAAUUAGACAGUUGUAGGUAAUUAAUCCUACAUUUUAUUGCAGUAAAACCAUUUCUGUGUCAUAAACAUAUGUCUUGGGUAUUUCAAAAUACCAUUAUUUUUUAUUUGGGAUUUCUAUAGAAAAUUUUGUAAUCUUGAGGUUACAUGGUGACUAAACCUUGUACACAGAUAAAAUAAGGGGAGAAAUUUGAUUGGUUAACUUCCAAUGAUGGUUAUUUUCUUAUACGCAAUGAAAUGUUAUGUGAAUUUUUUUC
rnacentral:lncRNA from 1 species